GUGUGUGUGUACGUCUGUGUGUGAAGCUAUUGUUUAUCUACUCAAAUUAGUGGCUAAAAAAGCCUGAAGGUGUUAUGACCUCUGAAAAGAAAAUAGAACCCUCUUGAAAUAUGCUCUCUUGAAAAUGGACCAGAGUAGGACACUCAGAAGUGUAUGGCCUGCUCACUAAGUGGAGAGUCUGAUAAGGCCAACAGGAAGAACCUCUGGAAUUAUGGGAAAUAAAAUGUGAGGCCCUUUCAAUCAUUGUUCAUUUGUUGAUUGACUUUGAAAUUGCAAUCAUCCUGUUUUUAAUUCUUGUCAAAAAAUUUCAAGUUUACCAUUCAAGGACCAAGCGUGGUCAUGGAAUCUGAAUAGGGCUUUACCGGCUUCCCAGAUUUCUGUCAGUUCUUGGUUCUAGAGGGACAAGACACCAAAUUCACAGUCAGCCUCUUUUUCCGUGGCUGGGUGAGUUCCAGCCUCUCCUCUGGGGGCCUCAGGGUGUAUUGUCAGUGCAGAAAAUGAAAGAAAACCCUGCAGGCCUGAAGAGAGCAGGGAAGUCCGCACACCCAACCAGGGCCUGUGACAGCACUGUGACCUAGGGAGACCAGGGUAAUUCCUCUUUUUGAUUUAAUUCCUGAAAAGGUCAUCAGUAUUUGAUUUAUAAGAGUAGCAUUUCAGAAAAGCAAUUAGUAAGUCAGAAAGGUCCUGACAUGUGAUUUCUUGGUGUUUGAAGUACUUUAUUCUUCCGAUCAAAAUCAUUUAAGGGUUUAGUUUCGAGGACACAUUUUGAAGGCUGUGAGGACAUCUGUUUGGCUGUGGAGAUUUCCUGGGCCUGGCAUAAACUCAGUAACAAUUGUUGGAAGAAGUGACUGCAUCUUUCCAAGAGUAAGGCACUGUAUGUCAUGGUGAAGACAGUCUCCAGAUGGCCCUAGAACCUCUGCUCCUGUUAGCCACACCUUUGGGCAAUCUCUCUUUCAGUGUGGGCUGGACCUAGGGACUGGCUGCUAGUGAACAGCGUCCCACAAUGUGAUGAGAGGGGUAACCUGGGGGACUGUCAUAUAUCACUUUGGCUUCCAUCCUGUUGGCCUGCUCCCACCCUGCUGAGCCCUCAUUCUGCAGAAGGCAAGUUGCCAUGUUGUGAGGAGCCCAAUGCAGAGGCCCAGGCAGUCAGAUAGGGCUGGUGGCUCUAGAUGACAGUGCAUGACUGGGUUUGGAAAUGCAGCCUCCCUGUGGGACCUGGGGGGUCUGCAGACCCGGUCAGCACUUCAGCCGCAGCUUCAUGAGAGACCUAUAUCUGCAGGAUCCCAGCUAAGCUGUGUCUGGAUUCCUGACCUGCAAAGAAUCCUGAGAUAUUAAAUAUAUAUUAACUUUUCCUUAAAUGUGGCUACCAUAACAUUUGCACUUACAUAUGCAACUCUCAUUUUAUUUUCUUGGAAAGCACUCCCC
rnacentral:lncRNA from 1 species